rnacentral:rRNA from 1 species
AGAGUUUGAUCAUGGCUCAGGACGAACGCUGGCGGCGUGCUUAACACAUGCAAGUCGAACGGACUAGCAGGGCUUGCUCUGCUGGUUAGUGGCGAACGGGUGAGUAACACGUGAGCAAUCUGCCCCUGACUCUGGGAUAACUGCGGGAAACUGUAGCUAAUACCGGAUAUGACAGCCGACGGCAUCGUCUGGUUGUGGAAAGAAUUUUGGUCAGGGAUGAGCUCGCGGCCUAUCAGCUUGUUGGUGAGGUAAUGGCUCACCAAGGCGACGACGGGUAGCCGGCCUGAGAGGGUGACCGGCCACACUGGGACUGAGACACGGCCCAGACUCCUACGGGAGGCAGCAGUGGGGAAUAUUGCACAAUGGGCGGAAGCCUGAUGCAGCAACGCCGCGUGAGGGACGAUGGCCUUCGGGUUGUAAACCUCUUUUGUCAGGGAAGAAGCGAGGUACUUGCUACCGAGUGACGGUACCUGAAGAAAAAGCACCGGCUAACUACGUGCCAGCAGCCGCGGUA